rnacentral:rRNA from 1 species
AUCUGGUAGUUUUUUCAGAUAGCCGAAAUACCUGGAAAGGUAUGUCAAAGAGGGUAAAAACCCCGUAGGCGAAAUUUGGAAGACACCUAGGAGGAUCCUGAGUACGGCGGAACACGAGGAAUUCCGUCGGAAUCCGGGAGGACCAUCUCCCAAGGCUAAAUACUCCCUAGUGACCGAUAGUGAACCAGUACCGUGAGGGAAAGGUGAAAAGCACCCCGGAAGGGGAGUGAAAUAGAUCCUGAAACCGUGUGCCUACAACAAGUUAGAGCCCGUUAAUGGGUGAUAGCGUGCCUUUUGUAGAAUGAACCGGCGAGUUACGAUUGCAUGCGAGGUUAAGUUGAAGAGACGGAGCCGUAGCGAAAGCGAGUCUGAAUAGGGCGAAUGAGUAUGUAGUCGUAGACCCGAAACCAUGUGAUCUACCCAUGUCCAGGUUGAAGGUGCGGUAAAACGCACUGGAGGACCGAACCCACGUACGUUGAAAAGUGCGGGGAUGAGGUGUGGGUAGCGGAGAAAUUCCAAUCGAACUUGGAGAUAGCUGGUUCUCUCCGAAAUAGCUUUAGGGCUAGCGUCGAAGUUGAGAAUGAUGGAGGUAGAGCACUGUUUGGACUAGGGGCCCAUCUCGGGUUACCGAAUUCAGAUAAACUCCGAAUGCCAUUCAUUCAUAUUCGGCAGUCAGACUGUGAGUGAUAAGAUCCAUAGUCGAAAGGGAAACAGCCCAGACCACCAGCUAAGGUCCCCAAAUAUAUGUUAAGUGGAAAAGGAUGUGGGGUUGCACAGACAACUAGGAUGUUGGCUCAGAAGCAGCCAUCAUUUAAAGAGUGCGUAAUAGCUCACUAGUCGAGUGACCCUGCGCCGAAAAUGUACCGGGGCUAAACAUAUUACCGAAGCUGUGGAUUGUACCUUU